GAUGAACGCUGGCGGCGUGCCUAAUACAUGCAAGUCGAGCGAACAGACGAGGAGCUUGCUCCUCUGACGUUAGCGGCGGACGGGUGAGUAACACGUGGAUAACCUACCUAUAAGACUGGGAUAACUUCGGGAAACCGGAGCUAAUACCGGAUAAUAUAUUGAACCGCAUGGUUCAAUAGUGAAAGACGGUUUUGCUGUCACUUAUAGAUGGAUCCGCGCCGCAUUAGCUAGUUGGUAAGGUAACGGCUUACCAAGGCGACGAUGCGUAGCCGACCGGAGAGGGGGGUAGCCCGCACGGGAACUGAGACACGGUCCAGACUCCUACGGGAGGCAGCAGUAGGGAAUCGGCCGCAAUGGGCGAAAGCCUGACGGAGCAACGCCGCGUGAGUGAUGAAGGUCUUCGGAUCGUAAAACUCUGUUAUUAGGGAAGAACAAAUGUGUAAGUAACUAUGCACGUCUUGACGGUACCUAAUCAGAAAGCCACGGCUAACUACGUG
rnacentral:rRNA from 1 species